rnacentral:rRNA from 1 species
GCAAGUCGAGCGGAACGUCGGGAGCUUGCUCCCUUCGUUUAGCGGCGGACGGGUGAGUAACACGUGGGCAACCUGCCCUGCAGAUCGGGAUAACUCCGGGAAACCGGUGCUAAUACCGAAUAGUUUUUUGCCCCUCCUGGGGCGAAACGGAAAGACGGUUUCGGCUGUCACUGCAGGAUGGGCCCGCGGCGCAUUAGCUAGUUGGUGGGGUAACGGCCCACCAAGGCGACGAUGCGUAGCCGACCUGAGAGGGUGAUCGGCCACACUGGGACUGAGACACGGCCCAGACUCCUACGGGAGGCAGCAGUAGGGAAUCUUCCGCAAUGGACGAAAGUCUGACGGAGCAAUGCCGCGUGAGUGACGAAGGUUUUCGGAUCGUAAAACUCUGUUGUAAGGGAAGAACAAGUACCAAGUAACUACUGGUACCUUGACGGUACCUUACCAGAAAGCCACGGCUAACUACGUGCCAGCAGCCGCGGUAAUACGUAGGUGGCAAGCGUUGUCCGGAAUUAUUGGGCGUAAAGCGCGCGCAGGCGGUCCCUUAAGUCUGAUGUGAAAGCCCACGGCUCAACCGUGGAGGGUCAUUGGAAACUGGGGGACUUGAGUGCAGAAGAGGAAAGUGGAAUUCCAUGUGUAGCGGUGAAAUGCGUAGAGAUGUGGAGGAACACCAGUGGCGAAGGCGACUUUCUGGUCUGUAACUGACGCUGA